rnacentral:rRNA from 1 species
AUUGAACGCUGGCGACAUGCCUUACACAUGCAAGUCGAACGGCAGCACGGGUGCUUGCUCCUGGUGGCGAGUGGCGAACGGGUGAGUAAUACAUCGGAACAUGUCCUGUAGUGGGGGAUAGCCCGGCGAAAGCCGGAUUAAUACCGCAUACGAUCUACGGAUGAAAGCGGGGGACCUUCGGGCCUCGCGCUAUAGGGUUGGCCGAUGGCUGAUUAGCUAGUUGGUGGGGUAAAGGCCUACCAAGGCGACGAUCAGUAGCUGGUCUGAGAGGACGACCAGUCACACUGGGACUGAGACACGGCCCAGACUCCUACGGGAGGCAGCAGUGGGGAAUUUUGGACAAUGGGCGAAAGCCUGAUCCAGCAAUGCCGCGUGUGUGAAGAAGGCCUUCGGGUUGUAAAGCACUUUUGUCCGGAAAGAAAUCCUUGGCCCUAAUACGGUCGGGGGAUGACGGUACCGGAAGAAUAAGCACCGGCUAACUACGUG